GGGAGCCCGAUGUGGGAUUCGAUCCCGGGUCUCCAGGAUCGCACCCUGGGCCAAAGGCAGGCGCCAAACCGCUGUGCCACCCAGGGAUCCCAUUUAUCUCUUUGUUGAAGUUCUCAGAGUUCAUCUACUCUCAAGUCUGUCCUUUCCUGCCAUGGGCUGACCAAAGAGCUACUCAUGUACCGACUGUCCUGGGCCCAAUCUACACAUAGACGCCUCCUUCUGAUUUUCCGAGCAGACUGUCCAGUGGCCAGUUGUGUGGCUACCAACUCAGUCUAUCGCACUGAUCGUCCUCAGCCUGCGUCUGUCAGACCAGCCCCAGUUCCCGAGGCCACCGAGUGGCAGCACACGCUGGACGCCGGCGGGGAGCCCGGUGCCCCUGAAACCCUGCGUGUGGACUGCUGUGGACCAGGGAGUCCUCCUGCCACCGCCCAGGCUAUGGCUGGAAAUCCAGCGCGUCCACUGCUGGCAUGGCUGGGGCUGUUCGGUCACACAGUGGACCCCCGGCUGCAGGCCCCACGCAGACAGUUGUUUUACCUUGAUGCUUCUGCAAAAGUGCUUCAUCAUCAAGGAGAUUCAAGGAAAAGACUGAUGACUGUAGAAUACAGGUCUCUAAUAACUUAGAUUAUACCAUUGAACUGAGUAAGAAUUUAGAGAACUAAUGGAGAAACUCAUGGCUUCAUAAAACUAACAGAAGAUCAAGAUCAACAGAAACAGGACUCAAUAAACUGAAAAUUAUAAUCUUUAUGACUUUUUGUUUGACAUCCUGCUCUUUUUUAAAUCUUUUUUCCAGAUAUAGGAAAACCUUUCCACAGAAAUUUGAUAAAUUAUACAUCUGUAAGCAAAAUGAAAACAUCUGUCUUCUACCUGAUUCCCCCAGAAUUUGGAAACUCUCACAUUGAAAGCUGAAUAUGAAUGACAUCAUGGGACCAGAGAAAUCAGCACAACAGCUUCUGUAUGGAUAAUCUUUGGGUGACCACGCAGAGGCCAGUACAAAGAUCGCCAGAGACAUGUACACUGCAACCAGAGAGAUCUGGCUGUGGCUGCCUGCCCUUGUCCAAAGCUGCUUAGAAACUGACGUCUGGAAACCUCCACUGGUUACCCUCAGAACUGAGAACCUGGUUUAUACUUUGCUCCAAUUAGUAACCAUUAUUUUCCUUUUAUCUCUGUAGAAAUGACUUAAUACUUGAUUACUUGAACCAUAGACCUAACUUAGGGAACGUAACUGUGAGACCAUUUCCUGAAUUGAGUUUAAUGAACUGUGUCCUUGUCAGGACUGAGACCAAUUCAACAAGAUGAGAAAUUCUCCAGGCUCAGUAUGUGAACCUUCCAGUAAAGUUCCAGAAGAGGGAACCAUCAGGACCCAGGGCUGGCCCGACUCUUGCUUUUGGCUUGGGUCAUGAUCUCAGGGUUGUGAGAUCGAGCCUCUGUAAUAGAGUCUCCUGGAAAUUACCUUCCUCCCCCAUACCCGCCCCCCACAAGCACACACAUGCUCAUUCUCUCGAAAAUUAAAAAUAAAGGGGGGGGUGGGGAGGAAAGAAAAAAAAGAGGUACCAUCCUGCACCAAGAGGUAGACAUUCUUAAUCAGAGACCGGGAAUUCAGGGCCAGAGAAGCCUAUAAUAUACAAACCUUUGCUACUUUUACUGCUUUAUUACCCCAGCCCAGGUUCUGUCUAGAAUUCCUUACUAAUAUAAGUUUUCUUCAUCCUCUAAAUUCCUUGCAGAUUUAGGUUUCUUUGUCUAAAACAUAUGAAAGCUGCCUGCAUUGGUCAUUGCUUUG